rnacentral:rRNA from 1 species
GACAGAGGGUGCAAGCGUUGUUCGGAAUCAUUGGGCGUAAAGGGCGCGUAGGCGGCUGUGUAAGUCGGGUGUGAAAGCCCGGGGCUUAACCCCGGAAGUGCGCCCGAUACUGCACGGCUUGAGUCCUGGAGAGGGUGGUGGAAUUCCCAGUGUAGAGGUGAAAUUCGUAGAUAUUGGGAGGAAUACCAGUAGCGAAGGCGACCACCUGGACAGAGACUGACGCUGAGGCGCGAAAGCGUGGGGAG